AAGGCGUAUCCCGAAAAGCCUAUAAGAGAGUAGGGA
rfam:Capnocytophaga sp. oral taxon 338 str. F0234 genomic scaffold SCAFFOLD1, whole genome shotgun sequence.